rnacentral:piRNA from 1 species
UAUGAUUUGAGACAAUAGAGACUAUUAGUG